AGUCAUAUUGGGGGGUGGGAAAUGUCUUGAUUGUGAAAGUGCCUUCUUCAGAGUGAGACUUAUCCAUUGCACUCCUGUUGUGCUGACCCUGGCAAUUUCUCCAACUAUGGGAAACUUGGUUGCAUAAUUUGUUGAAAAGGGGAACUGCAUUUAUGCUUUUUGGAA
ensembl:snRNA U1 U1 spliceosomal RNA